CGGGAUGUAGCGCAGCGGUAGCGCAUCUGUUUUGGGAACAGAGGGUCGCAGGUUCAAAUCCUGUCAUCCCGACCA
rnacentral:tRNA from 2 species